GUCGGGGGAAUGGCAUCGCACAGAAGAGGAAAGGAGGAUGAUCUGGUAAUGUCGUGAAGGGAGUUGAUCCCAAAACCACGUUCCUAAGAAUGUGGAGCUGCAAUGGGAACGCUCCUGCUCCCCAUCAGAGAAGAUUCCCCAUCUCAGGUAUCGCUGGGCUGGUGUCUGGAGGAACCUCAGACCUGAAACACCCACCACAAACCACCUUUUCAGCUACAGCGUCAAAAGCAACAGGCGGAAAAAAGGAUCCCGACCCAAAAGCGUCUUCACUGACUC
rnacentral:lncRNA from 1 species